rnacentral:tRNA from 1 species
UAAAAUUAGUUAAAUCUAAUAACAUAAGCUUGUCAAGCUUAAAUUACUCUAUGAGUAUUUUAAU